UUGUUGUGCCGAUAAAGCAAUCUGUGGCAGCUAUCAAUUCCUAUGAAUCCUUUAAUUCUCAAAAAUAACUACCAUAACGCUGCUCCGUAUCUUUCUCCCAGAACUUACAGAACAAUAGUCCUGCUUCACUCUGUUUCCACUGCUUUUUCUCAAACUCUGCAACAUAUUGACACGAUUUUCAAGUCCAUUACUGGGAGUUCCUCUCAUCACCUUAGAUCAUACUUUUCAACUCAACACAAAUUGUCAUCCGUCAAAUACUCUUUUGCGACAAUUUCAACUGCUCGUUUCAUUGUCACUGCCUCCUCUUCACCAUCAUCUCCUUCUACAACAGUUGCCGAAUUCCAGGGUCUCGAGAUUAAAUCUGUUCCUACAAAGCCUAUUGAAGGUCAAAAGACCGGAACUAGUGGUCUACGCAAAAAGGUUAAAGUGUUUAUGCAGGAAAAUUACCUUGCAAAUUGGAUACAGGCAUUGUUUAAUUCUUUGCCACCAGAGGAUUUUAAGAAUGGACUAUUAGUCUUAGGAGGCGAUGGUUGAUAUUUCAAUAAAGAAGCUUCACAGGUAAUCAUUAAAAUUGCUGCGGGUAAUGGUGUUGGUAAAAUAUUGGUUGGCAAGGAUGGUAUAAUGUCCACACCAGCUGUAUCUGCUGUUAUACGGAAGAGAGAGGCAAAUGGUGGCUUUAUAAUGAGUGCAAGCCAUAACCCUGGUGGUCCUGAUUAUGAUUGGGGUAUCAAGUUCAAUUACAGCAGUGGCCAACCAGCACCUGAGUCUAUCACAGACAAGAUCUACGGAAACACCCUUUCUGGUUUUUGCAGAUUUCUGAAAUAAAAAUUGCCGACAUUCCUGAUGUUGAUCUUUCUCAACUUGGAGUCACAAAAUAUGGAAAUUUAGUGUGGAGGUGGUUGACCCUGUCACUGAUUAUUUGGAGCUAAUGGAGGUUUACAUUUGAUGCCAUGCAUGCAGUUACAGGGGCUUAUGCAAAGCCCAUUUUUGUUGACAAACUAGGAGCUAGCCUGGAGUCUAUUGCAAAUGGAGAGCCACCGGAAGAUUUUGUGUCACGACCCAAUUUUUCCUUCCGUUGGGUAUCAUGAUGGCACCUAGUCUUAGGGACUAGGUAAGCCUAACAUUUAUUGAAUAACAACAAUA